rnacentral:rRNA from 1 species
GCAAUUAUACAGCGAAACUGCGAAUGGCUCAUUAUAUAAGUUAUCGUUUAUUUGAUAGUACCUUACUACUUGGAUAACCGUGGUAAUUCUAGAGCUAAUACAUGCUAAAAAUCCCGACUUCGGAAGGGAUGUAUUUAUUAGAUUAAAAACCAAUGCCCUCUGGGCUCUUUGGUGAUUCAUGAUAACUUCUCGAAUCGCACGGCCUUGCGCCGGCGAUGGUUCAUUCAAAUUUCUUCCCUAUCAACUUUCGAUGUUUGGGUAUUGGCCAAACAUGGUUGCAACGGGUAACGGAGGGUUAGGGCUCGACCCCGGAGAAGGAGCCUGAGAAACGGCUACUACAUCCAAGGAAGGCAGCAGGCGCGCAAAUUACCCAAUCCCGACACGGGGAGGUAGUGACAAUAAAUACUGAUACAGGGCUCUUUUGGGUCUUGUAAUUGGAAUGAGUACAAUUUAAAUCCCUUAACGAGGAACAAUUGGAGGGCAAGUCUGGUGCCAGCAGCCGCGGUAAUUCCAGCUCCAAUAGCGUAUAUUAAAGUUGUUGUGGUUAAAAAGCUCGUAGUUGAACCUUGGGCCUGGCUGGCCGGUCCGCCUCACCGCGUGUACUGGUCCGGCCGGGCCUUUCCCUCUGUGGAACCUCAUGCCCUUCACUGGGUGUGACGGGGAAACAGGACUUUUACUUUGAAAAAAUUAGAGUGCUCCAGGCAGGCCUAUGCUCGAAUACAUUAGCAUGGAAUAAUGAAAUAGGACGUGUGGUUCUAUUUUGUUGGUUUCUAGGACCGCCGUAAUGAUUAAUAGGGACAGUCGGGGGCAUCAGUAUUCAAUUGUCAGAGGUGAAAUUCUUGGAUUUAUUGAAGACUAACUACUGCGAAAGCAUUUGCCAAGGAUGUUUUCAUUAAUCAGGAACGAAAGUUAGGGGAUCGAAGACGAUCAGAUACCGUCGUAGUCUUAACCAUAAACUAUGCCGACUAGGGAUCGGACGAUGUUAUUUUUUGACGCGUUCGGCACCUUACGAGAAAUCAAAGUGCUUGGGCUCC